rnacentral:rRNA from 1 species
CUACCACGCGAGUGGAUGCCAAUCCCCAAAACCUCUCUCAGUUCGGACUGGAGUCUGCAACCCGACUCCACGAAGCUGGAUUCGCUAGUAAUCGCAGAUCAGAAUGCUGCGGUGAAUACGUUCCCGGGUCUUGUACACACCGCCCGUCACACCAUGGGAGUUGGAAAUGCCCGAAGCCGGUGACCCAACCAAAAGGAGGGAGCCGUCGAAGGCAGGUCUGAUAACUGGGGUGAAGUCGUAACAAGGUACC